rnacentral:rRNA from 1 species
CAGGUUUGGCGGGGUAAUAUAGCAAGCUGAGCGAACAGAUAGGAGCUUGCUCUUUGACGUUGCGGCGGAGGGGAACCGUGGGUACCUACCUAUAGACUGGGAUAUAAAAGAGGGAGAGCUAUACCGGAUAACAUUUGGAACCGCAUGGUUCUAAAGUGAAAGAUGGUUUUGCUAUCACUUAUAGAUGGACCCGCGCCGUAUUAGCUAGUUGGUAAGGUAACGGCUUACCAAGGCGACGAUACGUAGCCGACCUGAGAGGGUGAUCGGCCACACUGGAACUGAGACACGGUCCAGACUCCUACGGGAGGCAGCAGUAGGGAAUCUUCCGCAAUGGGCGAAAGCCUUGACGGAGCAACGCCGCGUGAGUGAUGAAGGGUUUCGGCUCGUAAAACUCUGUUAUUAGGGAAGAACAAACGUGUAAGUAACUGUGCACGUCUUGACGGUACCUAAUCAGAAAGCCACGGCUUAACUACGUGCCAGCAGCCGCGGUAAUACGUAGGUGGCAAGCGUUAUCCGGAAUUAUUGGGCGUAAAGCGCGCGUAGGCGGUUUCUUAAGUCUGAUGUGAAAGCCCACGGCUCAACCGUGGAGGGUCAUUGGAAACUGGGAAACUUGAGUGCAGAAGAGGAAAGUGGAAUUCCAUGUGUAGCGGUGAAAUGCGCAGAGAUAUGGAGGAACACCAGUGGCGAAGGCGACUUUCUGGUCUGUAACUGACGCUGAUGUGCGAAAGCGUGGGGAUCAAACAGGAUUAGAUACCCUGGUAGUCCACGCCGUAAACGAUGAGUGCUAAGUGUUAGGGGGGUUUCCGCCCCUUUAGUGCUGCAGCUAACGCAUUUAAGCCACCUCCCGCCCUGGGGGAGGUACGACCGGCAAGGGUUGGAAAACUCAAAGGAAUUGACUGGGGACCCCCGCCCACAGGCGGGGGUGGGGAGGCCAAUUGGUGGUUUAUAUAUUUCUCGCGAGA